UUACGGCCCUUGAAGGAGGGACUCUUCCGGAACUAAAGUGCCCUAGUUUGCCGGUUGCGCGCACUGUGACGGCGGAGCAGGAGUGUAACACUUGGUCGUCUAUCCUGGGCUCGGCUUCCACUCGGUGGCCUCUAAAGAGAACAGCUCCCACACUCAUGGCAGGGGUCUUGCGCUCAAUAGUUCAGAGGCCCACAGGGAGACUACAAACUGUGACAAAAGGUGUGGAGUCUUUCAUUUGUACAAAUUGGAUUCGUCACAAAUUUACCAGGUCAAGAAUUCCAGAUAAAGUUUUUCAGCCUUCACCUGCAGAUCAUGAAAAAUAUGGUGGAGAUCCACAGCAUCCUCAUAAACUACACAUCGUUACCAGAAUAAAAAGUACAAAAAGACGUCCAUAUUGGGAAAAAGAUAUAAUAAAGAUGCUUGGAUUAGAAAAAGCACAUACUCCUCAAGUUCACAAGAAUAUUCCUUCAGUGAAUGCAAAACUGAAAGUGGUUAAACAUUUGAUAAGAAUCAAGCCCCUGCGGUUGCCACAAGGACUUCCAGCCGAGGAGGACAUGUCUAGCACAUGCCUCAAGAGCACUGGGGAGCUGGUGGUGGGGUGGCGUCUGAGCCCUGUGGACCAGGAGACAAUUAAGUCCUAACACCAGAGCAGUUUCGGGUUAAAAGUGCAGAUCAGUUUUAUUUAAAGAUGAUACCUGAGGGGUGGGGAGAAGUAAGAAUUUUAGGAGAGGUGCCAUACUGGGAAAUUCUGUGGCAGCUAAUUGAAGAUGAUGAUGAAGAAUCUCUGAAUUCUAGUUACUCUUUAUUUUCCUUCAACUCUUGUAACAUUUGGCUCAGGCAGCAAUAACAUUGGUAUACUCAUUGUUUGUGGUCCCAGUCCAUCCUGUCAUAGGUCUUGAUGUUUUGGGGCAUCAAGCAUAAAUGCCACCUGAUAUGGAGGAAGAUAUCAUUAAUUAAUAAGCUUAAAGGCAGUUACAGCUUCAAUUCAACAAUUAUUGACUAUCUAAUACAUGUAAGGCCUGGAGGGAACAUAAAGCGGAGGGACCCUAACUUCAAAGAGAUCAGUCCACUUGGAGAGAGGCCUGUCUGCCACAGCAGAAGGUGUCCUUGCUGCAGCUGGGUGAGGACAACUGUGUAAAUAAAAGCUGGCCCCUGCUAAUUUAUUGCCAUCUCUUUUACUGUGCUAACAUUAAUGUUGGUUAAAAUGGGGAAAAGAAUAUUGGUUAAUCUUUACCCAAAGAGUCUAAUAAAGUUUGGGGUAAGUGGUUUUAACCUCAAUGGCCCACAACUAGAGGAAGGGAUUAAAUCUUAAAUUGAAUAUUUAGAAAUGAAAUUGUCUAGAAGAGGAAGAGCCUACAGGGAGAAUAUGGGCAUAGGUUAGUGCAUUAGUUUUCUAUUGCUCUGUGACAAAUUAUCACAAACUUAGCUUCUAAAAACAACACAUAUUAUUAUCUCACCAUUUCUGUAGGUCAGAUGUCUGAGCUUAGCUGGGUAGUCUGCUUAGGGUCUCACAAGGCUAAAAACAAUGUCAGCCAAAGCUGGGUUCUCAUCAGAGCCUUGGCUGGGGAAGUAUCUCUCAGGUUGUUGAUAGAAUCAUUUCCUUGUGGCUGUAGGAUUCAUGGCAAGUUGCUUCUUUAAAACCAGCAUUGGCGAGAGACUAGCAAGAUGGGUGCUGUGCUCUUAGGUAAUCAUGUAGAGGCAAUCGUGUACAUUCCAUCACCUUUGUUGUACCCCGUUGGUUAAAAGCAAGUUACGGGUCCCGCCCACACUCAGGGAAGAGGGGAAUUACACAAAGGUGUGACUGCCAGGGGUCAGGGAUCAUGGGGGUCUCCUUAAAGUCUACCUGCCAAGCCUGCUAAGUCCAUCCUCAAGCUGGACCCAGGGGAUUCCCCAGAUUGGCAUUCCUUUGCCUCACAUUGUCAUUUCAAAACCUUAUAAGGACCUCUCCCUUAGUCUUGUCUUUGUGUCUCUGAGAACUGCUUUAUGUAAUUUCAUCUGCCCUGUUUCAGGAGGUUUUAUCUGGCUUCUCAUUGGUGACCAUUGGCCUUUGGUCAAGCUCAGAGAGGUGAAGUUACCCAAGCACUAUCUUUAAGGAACAUUCCAGUUCUCUUAAGGUCUUCUCAAUCUAAAAUGGUACCUCUCCCAGACCAAACUCCUAUUUUCUUCAUCUUUUCUUGUUAGAAUACUAAUUAGUAUGCUUAUCAGCCUAACUGGCAUAAUUUCACCAAGGACAAUUAGGAAUUACACUGGCCAGUUUGGGGAGCUUUCGACAUGAACAAGAUUGUGUAUUUGGGAGGUCCGUUAGAACAAAAAGUGAGGAAACCCUCAUGACGAGAUUAUUUACUAUGUUUUUCUUAAAAAAUAGAUCAUUUUGUUCAAUAUAGGUGGUAUCCUCUCCUUUCCAUACUUAGAGGAGCAGUAAGUACUGACUUUUUGAUCACACAGCUUGAUAAAAUUUUCAAGGGGCCAAGUUACUGUCUAAACCAUCUGUCACUCUGUUCUUUGUGUAUAUGUGUCAAAAUCUGUUUUCUACAUCUGAGCUUUUCUCCCUUAUUUAACUUGAAGACCUGAGGUAAGUAAUUAAGUUAGUUAAUAAAUAAUCUUUGGAAGUCGGGAGAGUUUCCAAAUAAGAAACAGAUAUAAAACAUUAAUCACUAAAUAGAAAUGUUAGUCUUACUUGUUAGAGUGACAGUUGAUUGACAAACAAUGAAAAUACCUUUGGAUAAUAUUGUUUAUGGUUAUUUUUGCCGCCUCAAAAUUAUUAAAAUGAUAUGAAAUAAGUGCUCAUGGAGAAAAAAAUAUCUAAACAAGUCUUCAUUUUCUGUUCUCUAAUUUUCUUUGUUAUCUGGAAAAGAAAUUUGUUGAUCACUUUAGUUUAAAGGUAAUAUAAACAGUUAAUUACACCAGGUAUGGUAAUUACAGAGAAAUACAAAUAUGUAUACAGCAAGAUGGAUAUGAUUUUCUGUUUGUUAAUAAAAGUGCUUAUUCAGAUGGUAA